rnacentral:rRNA from 1 species
UCAAUAUGAAUUGAUUAAUAUUUAUUUAUUUGUUGAAAUUGUGGAGUUUUUAAUUUAUUAAAAGUAAUUAUAAAUAUAGUUGUUUUAGUAGUUUUUAAUGAAAUAAUAAUAUUUAUUAUAGCAUAUUAGUAUUGUAAAAGGUUAUUGAAAUAGUUUGAAAAAUUAUUAAUUUAUAAGAAAAUUUAAUUUAUUGUACCUUUUGUAUCAGGGUUUAUCAAAUAUUUAAUAAUUAUUUAUUAUUCUCGAUUUUGUAAGAGUUAGUAGGUUUUAAAAGUUAAUGUAACAUAAUUUUUUUUUAUCAUCUAUUAGAAAUGAAACGUUAUUCGUUUAUAAAGAUAUCUAGUUUUUUUAGAAAUAAAUUUAAUUUAUUAAUAUUUAAUUUUUUAUUUAUUUGAUAAAUAAAAAAAAUUAUUUAUUAAAAUAUUUUAAGGGAUAAGCUUUAAAAUAAAUAAUUAAAAAUUAUACAAUAGUUGAUUUAUAAUAUAUGUAUAGAAUUAGCAAGUAUUAGUGAGUUUGUUAUAAAAUAAUUUUUGUUUAUAAUAUUAUUUAUUUUAUUUUAAUUUUUUAUAAAAAUUUUUAUAUUAAUAGGUUUAUAAAGUAAUAAUGAUUUAAUUAGUAUAUUUUAUUGUUUAAUAAAAUUUUUAUGUCAAGUUUUUUUAAGUAAUUCGGCAAAUAUAUAUAUGCCCACCUGUUUAACAAAAACAUGUCCUUUUGAGUUAUUUUUAAGGUUUAACCUGCCCAAUGAAUAGUUUUAAAUGGCCGCAGUAUUUUAACUGUGCAAAGGUAGCAUAAUCAUUAGUCUUUUAAUUGUAGGCUGGUAUGAAUGGUUGGAUGAGGUAUAAGCUGUCUCAUAUAAAUUUAUAAUAGAAUUUUAUUUUUUAGUCAAAAAGCUUAAAUUUUAUUAAAAGACGAGAAGACCCUAUAAAGUUUUAUAUUUAAUAUAAUAUUAUGCAAUUUUUAUUAUAUUAAAUAUUGUGUUGGGGUGAUAUUAAAAUUUAAUUAACUUUUAAUUUAGAAAUCAUUAAUUUAUGAAUAUUUGAUCUAUUAAUAAUAAUUAUAAGUUUAAAUUACUUUAGGGAUAACACGUAAUUUUUUUGAAGAGUUCAUAUCGAUAAAAAAGAUUGCGACCUCGAUGUUGGAUUAAGAAUUAUUUUAGGUGUAGCAGCUUAAAAAUUAAGUCUGUUCGACUUUU